UUAAUUACAGAGAACAAGACUAGUAGCAACCGCUAUUUACAAGAGAGACUUUUUUAGUAGCUGAAAGAAAAGUUUAAAUAUGGGUUGUGAAUUUCAUCUUGCGAGUAGGAUCUAAUCAAUUCCGGUAUUCACCGUUAUCGAAAACUUGAGUGUGGACAGUUUUUGUCCAAACUAGGGUGGUACCGCGAAGCUUCGUCCCUGAG
rnacentral:ncRNA from 1 species